CAGCAGCCACGGUAAGACAGAGGAUGCAAGCGUUAUCCGGAAUGACUGGGCGUAAAGCGCGCGUAGGUGGUUUGUUAAGUUGGAUGUGAAAGCCCCGGGCUCAACCUGGGAACUGCAUCCAAAACUGGCAAGCUAGAGUACGGUAGAGGGUGGUGGAAUUUCCUGUGUAGCGGUGAAAUGCGUAGAUAUAGGAAGGAACACCAGUGGCGAAGGCGACCACCUGGACUGAUACUGACACUGAGGUGCGAAAGCGUGGGGAGCAAACAGGAUUAGAUACCCCCGUAGUCCCUGUCUCUUAUAC
rnacentral:rRNA from 1 species